rnacentral:rRNA from 1 species
UUUUUAAAAUAUAAAAAGUGAAGCCUGCCCAAUGGUAUAAAAAUAAUUAUAAUAUAAUUUAAAUAAUAUUAAAUGGAUGCGGUAACUCUGACUGUAAUAAAGUAGCAUAAUUAAUUGUCACUUAAUUGGUGGAGAGAAUGAAUGGUUAUACGAAUUUUUCACUGUCUUGAAAGAAAUUUUUUAAAAUUGAAAUAAUAGUAAAGAUGCUAUUUAAAAUUGUAAGACGAAGAGACCCUAUAGAGCUUUACUAUAAACUUUUUGAAUUAAAAAUAAUAUAAACUUAUUUAUUUAAAAAAGUUUGGUAGUUUAGUUGGGGCGACUGUUUUUUAAAUAAAACAAAAACAUGCAAAGUAAUAAAUUUAUUUAUUGUAUAAUUAAAAUAUUUAACAAUUAUCAUAGUAGGCUAUAGUGACCCGUUAACUUAAUAAAAUUUAGUUAACGAUUAAUUGAUAAAAGUUACCUUAGGGAUAACAGGAUAAUUUUGUUUUAGAGUUCUUAUCAAAUACAAAGUUUGUCACCUCUAUGUUGAAUUAAGAUAUCCUAAUAAUGCAGUAGUUAUUAAAGGUAGGUCUGUUCGACCUUUAAAAU